rnacentral:rRNA from 1 species
UACAGGGGGUGCAAGCGUUGUUCGGAAUUAUUGGGCGUAAAGCGCGUGUAGGCGGACCACUAAGUCUGGUGUGAAAUCCCUCGGCUCAACUGAGGACGUGCAUUGGAUACUGGUGGUCUUGAGUCCUGGAGAGGGUAGCGGAAUUCCCAGUGUAGAGGUGAAAUUCGUAGAUAUUGGGAGGAACACCGGUGGCGAAGGCGGCUACCUGGACAGUGACUGACGCUGAGACGCGAAAGCAUGGGUAGCAAACAGGAUUAGAAACCCCAGUAGUCC